UACAGAGGUCCCAAGCGUUGUUCGGAUUCACUGGGCGUAAAGGGUGCGUAGGCGGUCGGGUAAGUCUGACGUGAAAUCUUCAAGCUCAACCUGGAAACUGCGUCCGAUACUAUUCGGCUAGAGGAAUGGAGGGGAGACUGGAAUACUUGGUGUAGCAGUGAAAUGCGUAGAUAUCAAGUGGAACACCAGUGGCGAAGGCGAGUCUCUGGACAUUUCCUGACGCUGAGGCACGAAAGCCAGGGGAGCAAACGGG
rnacentral:rRNA from 1 species